GACGAACCGAGCGAACGUUAUUCGGAAUCACUGGGCUUAAAGGGUGCGUAGGCGGGCACGCGAGUCAGGGGUGAAAUCCCACGGCCCAACCGUGGAAGUGCCUCUGAUACCGCGAGCCUCGAGGGGGAUAGGGGCGUGCGGAACUUCCGGUGGAGCGGUGAAAUGCGUAGAGAUCGUAAGGAAGACCAGUGGCGAAGGCGGGUCUCUGGACAGUUCCUGACACUGAGGCACGAAGGCCAGGGGAGCAAACGGGG
rnacentral:rRNA from 1 species